rnacentral:rRNA from 1 species
UACGUAGGGUGCAAGCGUUAUCCGGAAUUAUUGGGCGUAAAGAGCUCGUAGGCGGUCUGUCGCGUCUGCUGUGAAAACCCGAGGCUCAACCUCGGGCCUGCAGUGGGUACGGGCAGACUAGAGUGCGGUAGGGGAGAAUGGAACUCCUGGUGUAGCGGUGGAAUGCGCAGAUAUCAGGAAGAACACCGAUGGCGAAGGCAGUUCUCUGGGCCGUAACUGACGCUGAGGAGCGAAAGCGUGGGGAGCGAACAGG